UAUUCGCUUAUCCAAGCUAUGUUGGAUAAAUGAGACUCUACUGUAGUUGUCCCAGGUUCAAACUCCAGGAGCGGAGUGAGCGCCCGCUGUUAGCUCCAGCUCCUGCCAACCUAGCAGUUCGAAAACAUGCCAAUGUGAGUAGAUCAAUAGGUACCGCUCCGGCAGGAAGAUAACGGCGCUCCAUGCAGUCAUGCCAGUGGCCACAUGAGCUUGGAGGUGUCUAUGGACAAAGCCGGCUCUUUGGCUUAGAAAUGGAGAUGAGCACCAACCCCCAGAGUGUGAGUAGAUAAAUAGGUACUGCUCCGGCAGGAAGGUAACGGCACUCCAUGAAGUCAUGCCAGUGGCCACAUGAGCUUGGAGGUGUCUAUGGACAACGCCGGCUCUUUGGCUUAGAAAUGGAGAUGAGCACCAACCCCCAGAGUCAGACAUGACUGGACUUGACGUCAGGGGAAAACCUUUACCUUUAACUGUAGUUGUAUUUUUUGGAAUUUGCAAAAUAUUGCCUUAAGAUUGGAGAUAUUAAGCCUGCAUCUAUGUUGACUAAAAGCAACCUGGGCUUUUUUAAAAAUCGAGCCAGAUCCAGCGUUGUGUUGGAUAAAUCCUGACUCUGUCUGGAAUUCUGAAUCCAGCUGUUCUCAUGUCUCGGUGCUGCCUGGCUCGGCCUGACGGAGACAGAACCAGACCUGCCUGCAAACAAGUGACCUCCGCCGGGGCUUAGUAAACAAGUCACGCCAAAGCGCUGCCUCGGGUUCAGGGCCCUCGUUCCGGAGCGUCCACCUGCUCCCUGGAUGCCGGGAGCCCCGGCCAGGCACGCACGGCGCAUUAGCAAUGCAGCCCAUUUGCUAACACCCGGUUCCUCAUUCCCUCUCGCGCAGACCUGCUCUGGGCGACGAAUCCCACGGAGCGAAGAAGAAUCCCAAAAUAGCGACCUUUUUCUCCUUCUCCAGCCCUUUUAGACAAAGACGCCGUUCUUCCAAAUCAGGCCAAGUGUGUUUCCUCAUAUCAGGUAUCCAACAUAACCAUCUUCCCGCCAAGGAGUUCAAAGUUGUGUCUAAAGCCCCAUCAACACUGUCACAAAGUGUGGUAUUGCACUCGCAUUAACCUGGGCCGUCCAAUCAACGCACACGGGAAGCUAUGUGUAGACAAAAUGCAUCUCGGAGUCACAUGUUGUGGCUGUGUGGAAAUGCUCUAUGUCUCCUCUCUCACACACACAUUUGAUCCUCUUAUCAACAAUACCCGGGGCCCGGGGCUGUGGCGCAGACGGGAGAGCAAUGAGUCACUGACCAGGAGGUCAUAAGUUCGAGGCCCGCUCGGAGCUAUGUUUGUUUGUCUUUGUCCUGUGUUAAAAAGGCAGUGAAUGUUUGCCUAAUAUGUGUAAUGUGAUCCGCCCUGAGUCCCCUUCGGGGUGAGAAAGAAGGGCGGAAUAUAAAUGAUGUAAAUAAAUAAAUAAAUAAAAUACUGUGAAGGAGACUAAGCGAAAAGAUUAUCGAAUGGCUCAGCAAUACCAUAGGGCGCUUCCAGGCAGCACCAAAUUGCGGGGCAAAAAAAUCCCGGGACUUCAGAAAAAGUCCACAUACAGACCUGCAGGGCAAUGUUCCUGGGUUAAAAGUGCCUGUUCCUGUUUCAUUAUGUACUACUUACUGUGAAAAUAGUCCUUGCACCCCAGGAACUUCAUUUUUCUGCCGUCAACUUCAUUAAAUGGCUCGUUGAAAGCACCAGAACUUGCUUUGCACCACCACUUGCACUGCACAGCGCGAGGCAUGUUCAUCUGCAUUGGACUUGACUUGCAGCACACUUGCCUAAAGCCAUUGCUUCUUCCUGCCGCACCACCUACAGAGCAAGAUGGGCCACUCAUGGAGGCUUGCAGAAUGCACAGAGCAUGGGUAAUUCACAAUUAAAAUCUACAGAAGAACUCCAUAACAUGAGAGCCAAACAAGCAAGAUUUUAAACCAAACAGCCUAUCGAGCCAUAGAAGGAGGUCGCUAGAAACACAAGCUUCUUUGAGGGUCUCAACUAGAGGACAGUCAGGCCGGUGGGCUCUACCUGGUGAUCUCCCAUGAGCAUGGGAUCACCACUGAAAAGGACCAUAGGCUGGAGAGAACAAUGGCACGAGUGGCGUUAAUAGGGUUGAUACAUUUCGACUGAAAUACAUUUUAUAGUCAACCAUUUUGGUGUCACUCACUCUGAUCGGUGACACCAAAGUCCACACCUCUCACAACCCUCAAGUGGUGCAACUGUGGCUCAUUGAAAGCAGCUGCAUACACUUCAUAGAAUCAUAGAGUUGGAAGAGACCACAUGGUCCAUCUAGUCCAAUCCCCUGCCAUGCAGGAAAAGCUC
rnacentral:lncRNA from 1 species